rnacentral:rRNA from 1 species
UACAGAGGGGGCGAGCGUUGUUCGGAAUUACUGGGCGUAAAGGGCGCGUAGGCGGCCGACUAAGUCAGACGUGAAAUCCCCUGGCUCAACCAGGGAACUGCGUCUGAUACUGAUCGGCUUGAGUCCGGGAGAGGGAUGUGGAAUUCCAGGUGUAGCGGUGAAAUGCGUAGAUAUCUGGAGGAACACCGGUGGCGAAGGCGGCAUCCUGGACCGGCACUGACGCUGAGGCGCGAAAGCCAGGGGAGCAAACGGG